rnacentral:rRNA from 1 species
AGCGAACGCUGGCGGUAGGCCUAACACAUGCAAGUCGAACGGCAGCACAGUAAGAGCUUGCUCUUACGGGUGGCGAGUGGCGGACGGGUGAGGAAUACAUCGGAAUCUACUUUUUCGUGGGGGAUAACGUAGGGAAACUUACGCUAAUACCGCAUACGACCUACGGGUGAAAGCAGGGGAUCUUCGGACCUUGCGCGAUUGAAUGAGCCGAUGUCGGAUUAGCUAGUUGGCGGGGUAAAGGCCCACCAAGGCGACGAUCCGUAGCUGGUCUGAGAGGAUGAUCAGCCACACUGGAACCGAGACACGGUCCAGACUCCUACGGGAGGCAGCAGUGGGGAAUAUUGGACAAUGGGCGCAAGCCUGAUCCAGCCAUACCGCGUGGGUGAAGAAGGCCUUCGGGUUGUAAAGCCCUUUUGUUGGGAAAGAAAAGCAGCAGGUUAAUACCCCGCUGUUCUGACGGUACCCAAAGAAUAAGCACCGGCUAACUUCGUG